rnacentral:misc_RNA from 1 species
CAUCUACAUGUAAAUUCCAACUUUCAAGAUCAGAUGAGUCUAUUCCUAAGAUCAGAGAGUAUGUUGCCAUGGCAGUGUGCAGGCAGAAGUUGCAUGAUGAUGUAUUGAAGGGGUGGAUAUCAUUUUUCAUUGAUGACAUCCUUGGUCAAUAUGUUGGACUGCAUCAUACUUCAAAAGGACCCUUGGAACCUGACUCUAAUGUGGAAGGGACAUAUAUUACAAAUAAGGAACAUGAUAGCACCACUAUUGCUUCACUAGAAAAAGUUAAGGAAG